rnacentral:rRNA from 1 species
UACGGCCAUACCACCCUGAACGCGCCCGAUCUCGUCUGAUCUCGGAAGCUAAGCAGGGUCGGGCCUGGUUAGUACUUGGAUGGGUGGAUGGAUGACCGGGUGUGUCCGUCA